rnacentral:tRNA from 1 species
GCCCUCUUAGACCAAUUGGUAGGAGUCAUAAGCCUUAGAACCUUAGCAGUGUCAGUUCGAAUCUGACAGAGGGCACCA